rnacentral:rRNA from 1 species
CCUCCUUUUCUCUGCCGUUUUUACUAUUUCCCCCUUUUUUCCCCCCUGCUGCCGCGCCGCCGCGUGAGUGAAGAAGUAAUUCGUUAUGUAAAGCUCUAUCAGCAGGGAAGAAAAUGACGGUACCUGAGUAAGAAGCCCCGGCUAACUACGUGCCAGCAGCCGCGGUAAUACGUAGGGGGCAAGCGUUAUCCGGAUUUACUGGGUGUAAAGGGAGCGUAGACGGCAGUGCAAGUCUGGAGUGAAAGGCGGGGGCUCAACCCCCGGACUGCUCUGGAAACUGUACGGCUGGAGUGCAGGAGAGGUAAGUGGAAUUCCUAGUGUAGCGGUGAAAUGCGUAGAUAUUAGGAGGAACACCAGUGGCGAAGGCGGCUUACUGGACUGUAACUGACGUUGAGGCUCGAAAGCGUGGGGAGCAAACAGGAUUAGAUACCCGGGUAGUC